GUAUAGUUCAUGGUAGAACACUUGCCUAGCAUGCAUGAGGCCCUGGGUUCAAUACCUAGCAC
rnacentral:tRNA from 1 species